rnacentral:rRNA from 1 species
UUGGGAAUAUUGCGCAAUGGGGGAAACCCUGACGCAGCGACGCCGCGUGUGGGAUGAAGGUCUUCGGAUUGUAAACCACUGUCGCGAGGGACGAAGCUCUGACGGUACCUCGAAAGGAAGCACCGGCUAACUCUGUGCCAGCAGCCGCGGUAAUACAGAGGGUGCGAGCGUUGUCCGGAAUCACUGGGCGUAAAGGGCGCGUAGGCGGCCCGGUAAGUAGGGGGUGAAAUCUCAUGGCUCAACUGUGAGGCUGCCUUCUAGACUGCCAGGCUUGAGCACAGUAGAGGCGAGUGGAAUUCCCGGUGUAGCGGUGGAAUGCGUAGAGAUCGGGAAGAACAUCGGUGGCGAAGGCGGCUCGCUGGGCUGUUGCUGACGCUGAGGCGCGAAAGCGUGGGGAGCAAACAGGAUUAGAUACCCAAGUAGUCCCUGAGCGGGCUGGCAAGGCGCAU